rnacentral:rRNA from 1 species
UACGUAGGGUGCAAGCGUUGUCCGGAAUUAUUGGGCGUAAAGAGCUCGUAGGCGGUCUGUCGCGUCUGCUGUGAAAACUCAGGGCUUAACCCUGAGCUUGCAGUGGGUACGGGCAAGCUAGAAUUCGGUAGGGGAGACUGGAAUUCCUGGUGUAGCGGUGAAAUGCGCAGAUAUCAGGAGGAACACCGGUGGCGAAGGCGGGUCUCUGGGCCGAAAUUGACGCUGAGGAGCGAAAGCGUGGGGAGCGAACAGG